GCAGGACACAGACCACGACGGCCACAACCGCAGCACCGCUGCCUCCCUGGGGCUCAGAGCCCCCGACUGCGGGGAGAAAGGGGUGGAGGGAGACGUGUGACUACGGAUCAGACCCAGCUGGGGAGAAGCAGGCCAAGGAGGUUCCUAUAGCAGGAAGGUCUGAAGGCAGUGAGCAGGGGGCUGAAGGGUCCAGGCAGCCCCAUGUGCGGCUGACCCCGAGAGAGGCCAGGAGAGCGCAGGCUGCGACGGACGCUGGGACCGGGCCAAGCUACCUGCCCCCACUCACCUCCCCAGGUCUCCCCCUGCAGCCCCGAUCCCAGCCCCCACUCACCGAUCUCCAGGAUGAAGUGCUG